AACAAAGAAGUAAAAUUAACAUUUAGUUUCGGCCUAAAAAUAAGGACUUUAAUCCUCAUGUU
rnacentral:tRNA from 1 species